UACAGAGGGUGCGAGCGUUGUUCGGAAUUAUUGGGCGUAAAGGGCGCGUAGGCGGUGCGGUAAGUCACCUGUGAAAUCUCCUGGCUCAACUGGGAGCUUGCAGGCGAAACUGCCGUGCUGGAGUGUGGGAGAGGUGCGUGGAAUUCCUGGUGUAGCGGUGAAAUGCGUAGAGAUCCGGAGGAACACCGACGGCGAAGGCAGCGCCCUGGCCGCCAUCUGACGCUCAGGCACGAAAGCUGGGGGAGCGAACAGG
rnacentral:rRNA from 1 species